GUGUAUGCAUAGGUAUAUGGAUUCAGUGGCGGUGAGACACAUCGUGGGGCUGAUUUUUCUCUUGUACUGAGUCAAGUGAAACCUCUUUUAUGGUAGAGGUAUUGCAGCAAUGCAAAGUAAGCCUGAAAGAAGGAUUAAUCACAGAGAGUUUCUCCAGGCUGCUUCCUCUUAUUCAUUCAUUUCUUCAGCACAUGAGGAACACAGAAGCCAGAUACAGUGCCAGGAGGACAUCCAUCACGACAGCGGAAAGGGAGUGAGGAAGGAACGCUACGCUGCUUCCUCUGCCAGGCAAAUACAGAUCUCUGUCUAAUUACAUAGUCAGAUUUCAGGCAUCUGUUAGGAACUCUGCGAUGAUGAUAUCAGUCUGCCAUUACUAUAUUAAGGAGGUGUUUCUUCCAGAAUGUCACAAGGAGUUGAGAACUGCUGAAUUCAGCCAGAUGAAAAGCCCAUGUAACCUAGGACCCAUCUGAGUAACUUGUAGAGAAGCAAUGUUUGUUUGUCUCAUGAAAAAUGCCAGUGACCAAGGACAUACAAGGUGGAAACAGAAGUUCAGCCUCAUAC